rnacentral:lncRNA from 1 species
UUUAGGGCUUUAUUUUGGUUUAAUUAAGGGAGGAAAAGAAAAAAAAAGCACUUUGUCAUUGUUGAGCUGUUCUACAGCCAGUUUUAGUUAUGAUGAGGAAUUGCUGAUGGUGCAGGGCUGCUGUGGGCGUUGGUUCCCGUUGUUCUUCAGCUCUCAGCAGUCCCACAGCAGAGGGCUCACCUGGGAGAGCAGGCAGGGCAUCAGCUCUCUGAUGGCUUCUGUCUGUGCAGCAGCAACCCCAAAAGUGCUGUCCUUUGGGGUCUGUGACACACUCACUGCUGGGCUGGGCUGUCCUGUGGGGUGUGUGACACACUCACUGCUGUGCUGUCCUUUGGGGUGUGUGACACACUCACUGCUGUGCUGUCCUUUGGGGCAUGCAGAGCCUCUGGGUAGCCACCACGGCUGUUUGUGCCCCUUGUUCCCAGAUAAUUCACUCCUGCUGCUGGGGCCCUCCUGUGAGCCCAGAAAUGGAACUGGGAUCCACUCCCACACACCUUGGUGCCAUCAGGGUGCACUGAGUGCCAGUGUGCACCACAGCUGUGGGUCACACGUGCCAGGCCAUGCACACACACAGUCCAGGAGAUCCAGCUCUCCUUCUCUUCCACCUGGCUGGCAGCAGGGCCCCCUAACCCCGGCCAAGGUACAGCUGCUCUCUUCCUCUAAAUGUGCUCCUGAGAGCAAGAACUGCUUCUUCAUGAGAACCAGCCAUGUUAUCAUUCCUGUACCCACAGCAGUUCUGUCCACGAGAGGCUGGGGCAGCAUUGAUGAGCUUCUUGUGGUGGGUGCUCCUCUUGUCAGUUCAGCUACCCAGGCUGCUGAGGAGGAGGGGGGCUCCCAUCCCAUGUUGCUGAAAGAGAAAACAGAAAUUACCUCGUGGGAUGGGGCAAAGGUGGCUCCAUGGUGCACAGUGAGCUCAGGAGUGAGUGUGGAGGCUCAGAGCACAUCCUGAGGGCGCUUCUGCGUGUGGGGCUAAGGGGCACCAAGGGUUAAACACACUGAGUUUUAGAAAAGGAGGGAAAUGGGCCUUUCUUCACUCCACCCUGGCCUCCAGCCCCGUCCUGAGCCCAGCCCCAGUGCCCAGCCACGCUCUGAGGGUGCCAUGGGUUUGGUGGUGGGUUUCACCCCAAGGUGCUCACCCAGCUCCACGGGAGCUUGGGAACACGUUGCACCAUGCAGGGGCAAUCCUGCU